UACGUAGGGGGCUAGCGUUGUCCGGAAUCAUUGGGCGUAAAGAGCGUGUAGGCGGCCCGGUAAGUCCGCUGUAAAAGUCAAAGGCUCAACCUUUGAAUGUCAGUGGAUACUGCCGGGCUAGAGUCCGGAAGAGGCGAGUGGAACUCCUGGUGUAGCGGUGGAAUGCGCAGAUAUCAGGAAGAACACCAACGGCGAAGGCAGCUCGCUGGGACGGUACUGACGCUGAGACGUGAAAGCGUGGGGAGCAAACAGG
rnacentral:rRNA from 1 species